UUUUCGUGCAAACAUAAGUUUUCGCGCAUAAUUCUGAUCGGCUGUCUUAUUUAAAAUUUUUUUAUAAUUAGUAUUUUCGUUGUUAUGAGAUAAUAAAACAUGAAUAGAACUUUACUCAUAACUUAUGUUUUAAUUUUUUAAAAAAUAAAUUUUAAAUAAGAUGAACGGUUAAAGUUGGGCACAGAAAAUUAUGGCUACACUAGAA
rfam:Oryza nivara chromosome 1, whole genome shotgun sequence.